AGUUGUUACUAUGUUUUCGCAGAGCCACAGGUUUCGGCUGCUGCGCCUUCCGCGGGUCAGGAUCGAGGCAAGGGCGUCGCGAGUUAGAGCCCUACCCGACGUGCUGAGCUAGAGGUGCUCCUACUGCAGGUAGAUGUUUUGUUUCGAGUUUAUGUACAUAGUGGACUUAACUCGCCAGUGCGAGUAGCUUUGUAUUUUGGAUCUGAACUAUGUAUAUGAAACUCAGUUUGUUUAGCUUCUGUUCUCUCUAACAGCUCUCUACUACUGUUCGUAGUAGUGUUUGAUUUACAGGUACAGCUAUCGCUUCGUAUACAGGGGAAAUUCCUUUGUAUACGGCGGAUUUGUCGGCGCGCCCGGAAAAAGUGUAAUCCGGGGCGUGACAAAAAAGAUAUUAAAAAUUUAGAAUCUUAAUUUUAAUAAUUGAAAUUCACAAAUACAGAUCCUUUAUAUUUGGAUUGGCCUAAAACCCAAAUAGGAAAAAUUUGUAAUAUAUAUAUGAGUCCCGCUAUGAUACUUUUAAAAACACUAAGCACUUGGUGUUUAUAAGUUUUCCGCCGUUAAAUCUACAUUUUUGACAAUUUCAAUCCGUUAGAUCAUAUUAUUUAAUCAACCACCCACUCAACUCUAGGGGAUCACUAUCAUCCUAACCGCACAUCCCUUAAUCCAAGGGCCGAAACUUACAUGCACUAAUGACUUGAUUCUUUUGAAAGUAUAGGAGUUUAAUUUAUAUACUAGUGUAGUAACCCACGCGUUGUCGCGGAUAAAUAAUAAAAGAAAAAUUAAAAAAUAUUGAAGAGUAAGAAGAAAGAAGUUUAGAAAAUAAAAAUUCAAGUAUGUUUUUUUUUUUUUUUUUUUGAGAUAUAGGUAGCACGCUACCUGCUUCAUUUAUUUCAUUUAGUUUAUUUCAUUUAGAAAUAAAAAUUCAAGUGUGUUUUAUUUUUUUGAUAGGGAAACGUAUGAAUUGAACAAAUCAAUAUGGCCAUUGAAAAUUAAUAACUGUCCAGAAUCAGCAUUCAAAAAAAAAAACCUACAAAGGUCAUAUGAAGAUGGAGAUAAUAAUAUUGCGAUGAUGACGAUGAUGGCGAUGAAAAUCUGAUGAAAAUUUACAGGAUUUUGCAUCCUUUUGGGCAUGGAAUGAUCAAAAGUUACGGAUCAAAACUGCCACAUCAAUUAUGAAAUAAAAAAUAACCUCUAAAUUAAUCAAAAUAAUACAUAUAAAUCAAAUCCUUGAUUGAUACAAUCACAAUAUCAAAAAUAAUGCAAAUAAAUUAAAUUCUAAAUGAAUACGUAGUAAGAAUUCGAGAUUAAAAUAAAGAAAAGAAAAAUUAGGUUUAGGAAUUUCAAACUUACCCCUCGAACCGUCCAUUAUUGCUCUCUAAUUAGCUUCCUCUAUUGAAAAAACCGUUCGAUUACCUUCUUUUUCCAUAAAUCCGAAGAGAUUGACAUUGAUAGAAGUCCUAUAAACACUCUUUUGAUUCGGAGGGGGUUCGGGUCGAGUCGGAUUGGCAUGGAUUAGGGCUUAGAAGACUUCCUUACUCUUCCCCAAUCUCUAAAUCUGAAAGUAGUAACUAUUCAUCUUCUCCUUUUUUAAUUUUGUAUGUUAGGAAUUAUUUGUGAGAGAAGAAAGGACUAAUUUUGAAGAGAAAAUGUAUAAAUUAAAAAGCACAUUGAUUAUAUGUCAUUGAAUAGAGAGAAGGGGAGGAGAAAAGUCAAGAGUAAAAAUCAAUUCAUAAAAAUUAAUUUUGAAGAGGAAACGUAUAAAUUAAAAAGCAUAUUGAUUACGUGUCAUUGAAUAGAGAGGAAGGGAGUGGAAAAACCAAGAGUAAAAAUCAAUUAAAAAAAAGGUUAGUGAGGGUGGAGAAAAACUUGCCACGUGGCAAAAUUAUUGAGAAUUCAUAUAGAGUAAUAGAUAAUAGAUAUAUAUAUAUAUAUAUAUAUAGAGAGAGAGAGAGAGAGAGAGAGAGAGAGAGUGUAAAGCUACUAUACUAUCCGAAGCAUAGAGAAUCUGGUGCUUCCGACUUUUUGGCCCUUAGAUCAAUCCUUUUGAUCAUUUCUAAAAUUUGGAUUAAUACUAUUACUCUGUAGAGAUCACUCAACCUUAAGAAUACUACUCAAUCAUAGGGGAACCACAAUCAUCCUAACUGUACAAUUCUUGAUCCAAGAGUCAAAAAGUCGGAAGUAUCAAAUCUUCUAUAUUUCUGAUAGCAUAGUAGCACUGCACUAUGGGUCUGUUUGGCCUAGCUUCUUGAGAAGUGAUUUCUGUAAAAGUGAUUUUGGUUUAGAGAAGUGAUUUUGGUAAAAAGCUGUAGAGCGUUUGGUUGAAUUUAGAAAAAAGUGAUUUUUCUGAAGUGAUUUUCUAAAGCUGUUUGGCAAAAAAAUUUUGAUGUUUGCAUAUAUAAAUAUUUUUACUAAAUUUUAUUUUUAAAAUAAUUUAAAAUUUGAAUUUAAAUUAAAAUUUUAAAUUUAAUUAAAAGUAUAAUUUUUAAGUUUCAAACUUGUACAAAAAUAAAUUUGAAAUUUCAAAAUUUUAAAUUUAAAAUUUGAUUUUAAAAUCUAAAUUUAAAUUUUAAAUUUAAAUUUCAAAUUUUAAAUUUCAAAUUUAAAUUUUAAAAUUAAAAUUAAAAUUUAAAUUUAAAAUUCAAAUUUUUAAUUUUGAAAUUUAAAUUUCAAUUUCAUUUAAAUUUAAAUUUAAAUUUAUUUUGGGAAUUUUUGAAAUUUGAACUUUUUGAAAUUUGAAAUUUGAAAUUUGAAAUUUUAAAAUUGAAAUUUGAAAUUUGAAAUUUGAAAUUUGAAAUUUGAAAUUUGAAAUUUGAAAUUUGAAAUUUGAAAAUUUGAAUUUUGAAUUUUGAAAAUUUGAGAUUUGAAACUUAAAUUUAAAAUUUUAAAUGUAAAUUUUAAAUUUGAAAAGUUGAGAUUUAAAAAUUCAAAUAUGAAUUUAAAAUUUAAAAUUUAAAUUUAAUGUUAAAUUUAUACUUUGAAUCUAAAAUAAAAAAAAAAGAAGUUUGAGUUCAAAAUCAGAAUCAGUUUUGGAGAAGCAGCUUUUUUCUGUUUCUGAUUCUAGAGACUUCAAAAUCAGUUUUCUGAUUUUAAAAAGCAGAAUCAGAUUUUCAGAAUGUUAUUCCCAAAUGCUCUACUGAGCUCAAAAGUGAUUUUGAGCUCAGAAUCACUUUUAAAUAGCUAGGCCAAACACCUCCUAUAUAUAUAUAUGUGUGUGUGUGUGUGUGUCGAAAAGUCAGAUACUUGAUUUUUUUAAAUCAGUAUAUUCAGAAAUAAAGCGGGAAAAAUAAAAAGUUAUCCCCGCUAUUUCGCCGUACAUGGUGUUGUUUGGCUGGAAUAUUUUAUUCCAGUCAAACUUUACUUUUUCCGGUUAUUCAUUCAGAACGAAUAAAUUAUUCAAUCUUUUUGGUGGAAUGCAAUUUUAAGGUUUAAUUCUAAGCUUUAUUAAGAUUAUAAAUUGAUCUGAAGUAAAUUAUGUAGACAUGAUAUAUUUUACAUAUUAUAAUAAAUUAUUUUGAUUAUAAAAAUUAUUAAUUAUACUAUAUUAAUACAUAUUAUUUAUACUUAAAUAUUAUAAUAAGUUGUUUUUAUUAAAUUUAAGUUUAAGUAAAAUUUGAAAAAAAAAUUUCAUAAUAAAUUAUUUUUAUUAAAUCAUAGUAUU
rnacentral:lncRNA from 1 species